CGCACGGGUGAGUAACACGUAUGCAAUCCACCUGUAACAGGGGGAUAACCCGGAGAAAUCCGGACUAAUACCCCAUAAUAUGGGCGCUCCGCAUGGAGAGCCCAUUAAAGAGAGCAAUUUUGGUUACAGACGAGCAUGCGCUCCAUUAGCCAGUUGGCGGGUAACGGCCCACCAAAGCGACGAUGGAUAGGGGUUCUGAGAGGAAGGUCCCCCACAUUGGAACUGAGACACGGUCCAA
rnacentral:rRNA from 1 species